CAUGAGACAUGAACCGUAUAUAAUUUUGUACCCCAUAUGUUUGGAAAAAAAUUAGUUAUUAUUAGGCAGUCCACGUGUUCAAUGAAAUGCAAGUAGGGAAUUUAUGUCCUAUACCAAGUAAAAGUAGGCUUGUGUAAAUAAUUUCUCGAUAUGUGACUUUGGAUACUUGUUGAAUAUUUGUACAUAGUUAAUGUUCUUUUCGGAGACUAGAUUGAGUAUUCUGUAUUGGUUUACUUUGAUGAAUUUGGGCGAUUGAUUCAAGGAAUUUCCAUUGGCUUUAGUUGAUUUGGGCUUUAAGGCCAAGUAUUUGAGAUAUUUUGAAUGCGAUAGUUUUGGGAUUUUGAGUUGGGUCACCGGGAAACUCGGGUCAAUUGUGACGCCGUCAGUGAAAGUCCGUAAACCUACUGGGUCAAUUGUGACGCCGUCGGUGAAAGUCCGUAAACCUACGCGGGGUAGGUUGCUUCGUCCUUCGGGUUAGUAGCCCGUAAAGUGCAUGUGCUGGAGACGUCUAGCACGGUUGGUUGGUGAUUGCAUCGGUGAGCAACUCAUAUAAUAUUAUGUCUCGGUGUUGAGUAAAUUUGAUAUUCGAUUUGGUUGGCUAUUCCAUUAUGAGUUUUGUUAUUUUCCGUAUCGACUUUUAUGGGUAAUUUCCUUUAUUUGGGACUUGAUUUGAGUUCGUGGUUUAAUAGCAUUCUUUUGAGUAUUUGAAGGGAAGGGAAAAUUGAAAACACUUAAUAUAAUGCAUAGAUUAUUUUGUUGUGUUAGUUUGACUUUGAAUUGAGAUUUUAUAGCUUCAUUGUAAAUGUUGAAGGAGAAGAAAGCAUGAAAGACUUUUCAAUACUUAUAUAUAAAAAGAGUAUAUUUUGUGUAUCAAGCUUUGCAUGUUCAUAUCUUUUCAUUUAGCGUAUUUCCUGCUCGAGCUGUGGCUCAUGUUGUUGCAACCCAAAUUUUUCAGGUUUAGAGAUGGAUCCGAAGGCUUAAGAAUCAUGGAUAUGUUCUCGUUCAUUUUUUUUUAUUUGAGAACUUAAUCGGAUACUUGUACACAUUUGUUUGUAAAGAGGCAUGAGGCAUGUAAACUUCGAUUUAUUUUGGGAAUGUAAAAUUGUAGAUUGA